AGAGUUUGAUCCUGGCUCAGGAUGAACGCUAGCUACAGGCUUAACACAUGCAAGUCGAGGGGAAACGACAUCGAAAGCUUGCUUUUGAUGGGCGUCGACCGGCGCACGGGUGAGUAACGCGUAUCCAACCUGCCCAUCACUUGGGGAUAACCUUGCGAAAGUAAGACUAAUACCCAAUGACGUCUCUAGAAGACAUCUGAAAGAGAUUAAAGAUUUAUCGGUGAUGGAUGGGGGAUGCGUCUGAUUAGCUUGUUGGCGGGGUAACGGCCCACCAAGGCGACGAUCAGUAGGGGUUCUGAGAGGAAGGUCCCCCCACAUUGGAACUGAGACACGGUCCAAACUCCUACGGGGAGCA
rnacentral:rRNA from 1 species